rnacentral:tmRNA from 1 species
GGGGGCGAAACGGCUUCGACGGGGAUAAAGAAGCAAUGGCUGCAUACCGAGUUUCUGCUGACUCGUUAAACAGGCGGAAAAAACAUAAUCGCAGACGAUUAUAACUACGCAGUAGCCGCUUAGGCUACAGCCGUCCAGCCGGAUAAUGCCUGCGGAUCCGGUAUGGGCGUCGACUAGCAGGAAAGCCAAACCCGAGUGCCUGUAUAGGGUGAGGUUAAAUCUUACAGGAUAGUGGUUGAAGCAUCCUGCCUGAAGGAGUCUUCAGUUGCGAAAAUCAAAAUUCAGGAUAUGUAUGUAGAUGCCCUUGUGGAAUGUUUUCGGACGCGGGUUCAACUCCCGCCGCCUCCACCA